rfam:Sindbis virus strain XJ-160, complete genome.
GGCGUCUACCUGGGGAAGGUAGACGCC